rnacentral:lncRNA from 10 species
AACAGGAUUGAUAUGUUAGGAAAGAGCUUUGGCCAAAUGUGGAUUUCAUGUUUGCUUCUGCACGGACUCAUCUGAAAGAAAUACUGGGCGACCCAAAGAACCAAACCAGUGUUUCUGCAGAACCUUGCCAUGUGCCCAAAGGGAGGUCUCCAGGAAGGGCCUCCAGGCCCUUUGUCAUGGACCCGCGAGGUGUCUGGAGCUCCAGCUGUGCCUGCUGUUGAAACUCUUACAUCUCUUUCAGUGGGAGUGCAGCUCACAGGACAUCAACUGUUUCUGCCUACCUUGGGUCUUAUGAUAUAAAAAUCUAUGCCCAGUUCUCUAAGGCCUAGCAUGUUAUAAUCCAUAAAUCCAUUUUUAUCACAAAAUAAAACCUGGUUCCUAUAAAGGAAAGUGUUGCUUUCAAGACAAUUGUGUUUUCAUAGAUUUCCAAAGGUCUAUCCAGAACAUCCAUCAGCUUCUCUCU